rnacentral:lncRNA from 1 species
ACUGGGCUGGAAGGAAUUGGAGAGGACUCGGAGAAGAUGACACAGUGACAAUAGAAAUGACGGCUGACAGCCUGACACAGGAGAUGGAGACGGAGCUCAAAGGCAGUCUCGGGACUGUGUACAGAUGGUCCCAAAAUAGACAAGUCUGCAUCGUUAAGAAGCACGCGAACUCUUCCAGAUCCUCUGUCGAGAAGCCCCAAACCAUUGAUCCCUUUCCUCCUUCCCCUUUCGCUGGGGUCCCCAUGGCCCAAGGAAGGGAGCCGCAGCCCUUGUGUACAAUGUCUGCUCCAAGCAGUCUCUGCAUCCAUCUUGGGGCCACAGCUAUUAGAGAAGAAGCAGCUGGUGUCCUAACCACCUCACCAGAGUGAUUUUCAAAAGAUCUGCUGGGAAUUCUGGGCCAUGGCCCGUGUGCCAUCAAGAGGAGAGGCCUGAAUCCUUUGCAGCCGUUUUGUUGCAUGAGACAAGCCAACCAGAGGAAGAAGCAGACUAACCGAGGAGGCAUGGACGAGAGAAUGACCACGAUACCCAGACAGACCACGGGAAGCUCAGUGGAGAGCCCCUGCCUCUGGUCCUCAGGAUGUGUAAGACGAUAACGCUCUUUCUCUGUACUCCUUGCAGUUUGAUCUGCUUGACAAAACCCCUCAAAGUUUUAAUCUGAGAUCACAGGCAGGGCUGAUGGGCUGUGCCAGCACCCACUCCCCAACCAACGCCGCUGCCCUCCUGUACUGCCCGCCUGUGCUGCCCAUGUGGCUGGGACGUCAUCUCCAACAAGUGCAGGCUUGGCGACCCUCUUCUCAAUGCCCAGUCCUCUGUGAUAUCUCUGUCUUGUCUAUCCGAGGAUAAGCUUUAUAGAUUAAAA